rnacentral:tRNA from 1 species
AUUUAUAUAGUUUAAUAAAAACAUUACACUUUCACUGUAAAAAUAAUACAUAUAUAUGUAUUUAUAAAUA